rnacentral:rRNA from 1 species
AGAGUUUGAUCCUGGCUCAGGACGAACGCUGGCGGCGUGCUUAAAACAUGCAAGUCGAACGAGGUCCAUGGAGUGGCAACACUCCGGAAGACCUAGUGGCGAACGGGUGCGUAACACGUGAGGAACCUGCCCCGGAGACCGGGAUAACCCCUCGAAAGAGGAGCUAAUACCGGAUGUCCUCGUCUGAUCGCAUGGUCGGACGAAGAAAUGGAUUCCGCUCCGGGAUGGCCUCGCGGCCUAUCAGCUUGUUGGUGGGGUAACGGCUCACCAAGGCGUCGACGGGUAGCUGGUCUGAGAGGACGAUCAGCCACACUGGGACUGAGACACGGCCCAGACUCCUACGGGAGGCAGCAGUUAGGAAUCUUGCGCAAUGGGCGAAAGCCUAACGCAGCAACGCCGCGUGGGGGAUGAAGGCUCUCGGGUCGUAAACCCCUUUCAGCAGGGACGAUUGUGACGGUACCUGCAGAAGAAGGACCGGCCAACUACGUGCCAGCCGCCGCGGUAAUAC